UCAGGCAUCAAGCAGUUCUUUGAAGACAAUUUGGAGAUUGGGUAAGUGCUUGAAGUGCUAUGAAUGAUUUUGAGAUCUGACUAGGAUGAACAAGUUAGGAUAUAAGCUAUUUUAGAUUCAUGCAGUGGUGUUGAAAGAGGGUUCACGGGUAAAUCUUGCCCCAGGCUUGUGAAGAUGGUCUUGUGUGCACAAGCUUCUUCAUGAAAGUAUGUAUCACAAAGUAGUUGAACGACUUCUUGAUGUAUACAAGCAAGUUAAGAUAGGGGAUCCUUUAGAGUAGGGUACCUUGCUUGGACCACUACAUACACGUGCUUCAAGGGAGAACUUUGAGAAGGGAAUUCAAAAAAUUAUAUCGGAGGGAGGCAAGAUCCUGACAGGAGGUUCAGUUAUACCAUCUGAAGGGAACUUUGUGCAGCCAACAAUAGUAGAAAUAUCUCCAAGUGCUAAUGUCGUGAAGGAAGAGUUCUUUGGCCCAGUUCUAUAUGUUAUGAAAUUUAAGACAUUUAAGGAUGCUGUUGAAAUAAACAACUAUGUGCCUCAGGGUUUGAGUAGUUCAAUCUUCACCAAGAAACCUGAAUAUAUAUUCAAGUGCAUUGGUCCUUUAGGAAGUGAUUGUGGUAUUGUUAAUGUGAACAUACCAACAAAUGGAGCUGAGAUAGGUGGUGCUUUUGGAGGAGAAAAAACUA